rnacentral:rRNA from 1 species
AGUAGGACGUUGCGACCUGUCAAAUAAUAUCCUAAGUAUUUGGCUAAUUUGUCUGUUUUUAGGCAGUACUGAAAGGUAUUUCCUUUAACAGUUUUAGCCGUUUAUAUACUGGAUAUAAUUGACAGUAACGAAUCAUGGUGUUGAGCCACUUACUUUGUAAGUGUCCUUUAUGGCUGUUUGCAAGUGGGUUGGUUAAUUAGUUUUAGUCGGAUUUUGGUCCGUCUAACUAUUCCGCCUACUGUUGGUAAACUGUUCCUUGGACAGUGCUUAUAACACCGGUCGGCAGCGAUUCAGGUUCAGGCUCUUAUCCGACCCGUCUUGAAACACGGACCAAGGAGUUUAGCGUGUACGCAAGUCAUUGGGUGUAUAAAACCCAAA